GGCGCGCGCACACGUACACACACACACACACACACACACACACACACACACACACACACACACACGGAUACAUUUUCUCGCGUUCUCCCUGGUUCUCCUUUGUUUAUUUUCUAAUCUGGAUUUUGUUGGUUGUGCUCAUCUUCUCUUCCCUCUGGCCCCGCUUACCAGAGCUCCCGCGGGCCACCCGGUGCACGCUUGCUGCUCCCCAAAUCAGCGUCACCCAGUCCCCUCCUCCCGGCCUCCCGGAGCGCGGGGUUUGAAGGUCACCUCCUUUCUAGUUCCCCCUGCAAGCAUAGCUGCCGCCACCCUCCUCCAUCUGGAGCCCAGAAGUGUCAGUUGCAGUGGCUGCUAUCACAGAUAGGGGUCCGCACGGGGUAGAGGGGAGGGGAGCCUGAACUCAGAACCGAGGGGGAAUUCCUCCGUCUUAGCAUCGCGCUAGACCCGGCUGCACCCGCGGAAGAGUGGGGGCGCUCUGCCAGCUUCAGGACCCACGCGUGCGCCUCGCGGACCAAAGAAGCCACCAGCGAGUCGCGCAGCUUGCAUCUGGAGGGGACAGCCGCGCGCCCCGCCCCGGCGUCCAGAGCCUACAACUCUGAGCGUCCUCCCAGCUCAGGGCAAAUCUGAGAGGACAGUGCGCAUCUUCAGAUCCCGAGAACCCUUAGCUCCAGACCUGGUGGCCUCGGCCAUCAGGGCCCCUUAGGGGUGAUCCGGACCUUCGCCGCGCCCAGAUCCAGGGCGCGGCUGACCUGCCGGUGAAGUUGCUGCCAGCUGGUGUGAGAGAAACCAGCAUCCCAGUUCAUUGCCUCUGGCAGAUGCUGAGUGUGCCUGGGGGUGCACAGAGCAUUGAGGAAUCCGGGGGUCCUGAAUCCAGGAGCAGCGGACAACUGUGGGGCUCCCCAGGAGUUCUAGGAAACUGCUCAAGGACCUCAUGAAAGUGGGACUUGCGGCUUCCUUGAUCAGGCUCAGCAUUCAGUAAGUGCAACCGUCUUCACUGUGUAAAUGUGUCUGUAUCUUUGGUCUCUUUUCAAGCAGACUGUCUUCUGCGUGCCCCACAGUUCCCACAGAAACCUUGCUGUGUGCUUGGUCUCUCCGUCUGGCAUUGCUGUGUUGGAUUCAGAGUGAAGAUAGGAGCUUACUAUGUAGAGCAUCCUCCCAGCUCUGCCUCCAAGGCCUCCAGUGAAUUUGGGGCAACAUGUGCAUGUCAGUGGGUUAGUCUCCACUGGGAGAAAUGGAAAGUUCAUGAAAAAUGCACUUUGCUUCCUUCUGUUUCCUAUGGUCUGCUCAUAAGGGGAGAAUGUGUCACUCUUGUCUGGUCAAGUGACCCUGCAAUGUAGAAAGAAAACCCAGCAUACAGAUCUGCUGGUGACCAUAUAACUCCAGAGACUUUUAAAGAAAACUCCUUUCGUUCUUUUAGAAUCAGAACAUGUGACCACAUCUACAAAACUUCUGUAGAAGAAAAAUCUGUAUUUUAAGAUACAGGGUAAUGUUUUGGAAAUUUCAUUUUUUUUUUUUACCCAUUGAUUAUUUUCCCAUUGUCUUUCUUUGCCAUUGCACUUAAGAACUUAGUUUUUGUGAGGCUGGCAGUAUUUUUUUCCAAUUUCCCUACAUCUUUUUUUAAUAUCCACUAGCAUCAGAGGCUAGGACCCCAUGAAAUCUGACUUGUGUUUUCCUCCACAGUAGUUCUGCUGGAGAAUAGCACAUUUUGGGAAUAAAAUUGUUAUCAUUUAAGGAAAGAGCCAAAACUAUCCAAGUUUCAGAAGGGUAACUCAAGGAACUAUUUAUUUUUCUAGCUGUGGCUUCUCUCACAGGCUUUGGAAUUACUUAGCAUGUAGUGCUUCCAAGGGUGGUAGAGGCUAACAUAGUUCAUGAAUCAUCACCCCAUGUUGGAGUGAGCAGGUGGAACUGGAGGUCAUCAAACUCGGGACUGGUGAGGAGCUAGCUGUUUUCAGGGACACUUUUGCCCUGAGUAAAAUUGCCUGGCUGCUGCUUGCUGUGGAAUUUGCAUAUGCAAAUGUAGAGGAGGAGGAGACAAGAAGAAGCAAGCAGCUGACAGUGUUAGCUCUUUACUCCAGCAGAAUGUCUCUGUGUCGCCCUGAUCAGCUAAAGCUUGUAUCACACAGGGGAUUAGAGCCAGGCUUUUGUUUCUAAUCAUAAAGGAGCUUCCAUCUCUAUUCCCUAGCUGCCACAUCUAUCUUGUCAUGCAUUUGAAGUUCCCCUUUUUGUAUUUCCUCAAAACUGUGAGAGUUUUUGUAAGUAAAAAUGAGAGGGAGCUAUUUAGUAUUUAGUCUGUUCAGAGCUAUAGAGUAUAAAGUUAAACAUGCCUAUUACUUUAUCUUCUUUCCAAGUGGCAUCAUUCUCCUGUUCCCUUCUUUGUGCUGGGACAGCAAGCAAGAGAUAAGGACUAGAAGUGUUCAAGGAUGGAGUUUUAGAAGAAACAUGAUCUUCCCUGCCUCUGCCUUCAGAACAAGAUACAAAUUGUUGCCUCUCAGAAAUGAUCUCAUGUACAGGCCAUGUGCUGGGGACCUAGGGGAGGCUGUGGUCUCUGAGAUAAUCAGUACAGUGGUGAGUGGGAGCUCACGUUAUCUGUCUAUGGAGAUGGUAUAUCCUAUCUACAACCACAGUCUAAUGAGUGAAAAAGAAAGUAUUCAUUUGCUGUUCUAGACUACAUAUUAGCAAGCAGAUAUAAUAAUUUCUAAGAACAUCGAAAGGGCAAGAGGUGGGAAAAAUGUCUCAUUGUAGACAGAGGCUGAGGACUGGCACCUAACCGCUGUUCAUCUAAGUUGCUUUUCUUGAGGCUAGUGUGCCUGUAGUAUUAGAAACUUCAAUCCAGGCCAGGAAAUACCUUGAUUAAGAAGAAUUGAGUUCUGGGAGGUUACUUAGUUCCUGGGUGCCUGGGUGGACUAGUUACUUUUUUUGGUUGCUCUGAUAAACACCUCAGAAGAACCGCUUAAGGAAACAAGGGAUUGUUCAGGUUCAAGAGGAAGCUAUAGUGCAUCAUGGCUAGGAAGGCAUGGUGGCCAGAGAGUAAGGUAGGUCCUUGUGUUGAUGCCAUAGUCAGGAAGAAGAGAGCAAUAAUGAACGUCAGGCCUCCAUUUGUUUUCUCUCCUUAUUCAGUCUGGGACCCUGGCCCAUGAAUGGUGUCACCCACAUUUAGAGUGGCUUUUCAUACCUCAGUUAAUCUAACCUAGAAACUCCCUCACACAUGUGAUUCCAGAUCCUAUUGAGUUUGAAUUAGUAUCACACCUGGGGAGCAGGCUGUCUGACAGUCAGAGUAUCCCUUGACUCUGUGCCCUCUGGUGCCCUUCUGUGCUAACAUAGGAUCCAGGGCUGACUAAGAAACUGCCACAGUAACUUCUAGAAUUUCACCAGGGGCAUCGUCUUUGUGGCUUGGAUCUCUGCAUGCCUGACUUGCUUACUGACCUUGACAUGAAUCCAGAAUUUGAUGUUGCCCUUGGCUUCAGAAAUCACUUCUGUUUCCUUCUUCUAGCAUGUGGUUAUCCUUCAACCUUUAACUUUUCUCAGGAUACCCCUUUGGCAUAUGAGUCCUUUGAAUACAACUGGCCAAUGCCCAUGAUGUACAGAGCUAGUUAGUCCCUAUGAGCUAAUGUCUAUUUUCUGGCUUUUCACAUCCCUUGGUGAUGUUUUUGCUAAACACAGUGUUACAGGAGAAGCGUGUUAGCAGGCUCAUUGGUUGAACUUAGGCCUCAAAGCAAUUUCCUACAACUUGUAAAUUUAAUGUCUAACAGAAGGUUUCCUUGACCUCUCCCACCUGUCAGAUAAUACUUUCAUGUGUGCUGUGUCACAGUUAUUAAUCCAUGAAUUAAUUAAC
ensembl:lncRNA